rnacentral:rRNA from 1 species
UACGAAGGGGGCUAGCGUUGCUCGGAAUCACUGGGCGUAAAGGGUGCGUAGGCGGGUUUUUAAGUCAGAGGUGAAAUCCUGGAGCUCAACUCCAGAACUGCCUUUGAUACUGAGAAUCUUGAGUAUGGGAGAGGUGAGUGGAACUGCGAGUGUAGAGGUGAAAUUCGUAGAUAUUCGCAAGAACACCAGUGGCGAAGGCGGCCAACUGGUCCGGUUCUGACGCUGAGGCGCGAAAGCGUGGGGAGCAAACAGG